UAGAGUUUGAUCAUGGCUCAGAUUGAACGCUGGCGGCAGGCUUAACACAUGCAAGUCGAGCGGUAACAGGAAUAGCUUGCUAUUUGCUGACGAGCGGCGGACGGGUGAGUAAUGCUUGGGAAUAUGCCUUAUGGUGGGGGACAACAGUUGGAAACGACUGCUAAUACCGCAUAAUGUCUACGGACCAAAGGGGGGGAUCUUCGGACCUCUCGCCAUUUGAUUAGCCCAAGUGAGAUUAGCUAGUUGGUAAGGUAAUGGCUUACCAAGGCGACGAUCUCUAGCUGGUUUGAGAGGAUGAUCAGCCACACUGGGACUGAGACACGGCCCAGACUCCUACGGGAGGCAGCAGUGGGGAAUAUUGCACAAUGGGGGAAACCCUGAUGCAGCCAUGCCGCGUGUGUGAAGAAGGCCUUCGGGUUGUAAAGCACUUUCAGUUGUGAGGAAAGGUGUGUAGUUAAUAGCUGCAUACUGUGACGUUAACAACAGGAGAAGCACCGGCUAACUUCGUGCCAGCAGCCGCGGUAAUACGAGGGGUGCAAGCGUUAAUCGGAAUUACUGGGCGUAAAGCGUUCGUAGGCGGUUGAAUAAGCAAGAUGUGAAAGCCCAGGGCUCAACCUUGGAACUGCAUUUUGAACUGUUCGACUAGAGUACUGUAGA
rnacentral:rRNA from 1 species